UACGUAGGGGGCAAGCGUUGUCCGGAUUUAUUGGGCGUAAAGAGCGUGUAGGCGGCCAGACAGGUCCGUUGUGAAAACUUGAGGCUCAACCUCGAGACGCCGAUGGAAACCGUCUGGCUAGAGUCCGGAAGAGGAGAGUGGAAUUCCUGGUGUAGCGGUGAAGUGCGCAGAUAUCAGGAAGAACACCCGUGGCUAAGGCGGCUCUCUAGUACGGUACUGACGCUGAGACGCGAAAGCGUGGGGAGCGAACAGG
rnacentral:rRNA from 1 species